rnacentral:piRNA from 1 species
UUCUUGCCAGGUCAAUAUUAGGUUUC